CCUACGGGUGGCAGCAGUGAGGAAUAUUGGUCAAUGGACGCAAGACUGAACCAGCCAUGCCGCGUGCAGGAAGACGGUUCUAUGAGUUGUAAACCGCUUUUGUACGAGGGUAAACGCAGAUACGUGUAUCUGUCUGAAAGUAUCGUACGAAUAAGGAUCGGCUAACUCCGUGCCAGCAGCCGCGGUAAUACGGAGGAUUCAAGCGUUAUCCGGAUUUAUUGGGUUUAAAGGGUGCGUAGGCGGUCGGAUAAGUUAGAGGUGAAAUCCCGAGGCUCAACUUCGGAAUUGCCUCUGAUACUGUUCGGCUAGAGAGUGGUUGCGGUAGGCGGAAUGUGUGGUGUAGCGGUGAAAUGCAUAGAGAUCGUACAGAACACCGAUUGCGAAGGCAGCAUGCCAGGCUACUUCUGACGUUGAGGCACGAAAGCAUGGGGAGCGAACAGGAUUAGAUACCCGUGUAGUC
rnacentral:rRNA from 1 species